GAACUUAAGCAUAUCAAUAAGCGGAGGAAAAGAAACCAACAGGGAUUACCUCAGUAACGGCGAGUGAAGCGGUAACAGCUCAAAUUUGAAAUCUGGCCUCACGGUCCGAGUUGUAAUUUGUAGAGGAUGCUUCGAGCAUGGUCUGGCCUAAGUUCCUUGGAACAGGACGUCAUAGAGGGUGAGAAUCCCGUAUGCGGCCAGGUGCCUACGCUCAUGUGAAGCUCCUUCGACGAGUCGAGUUGUUUGGGAAUGCAGCUCAAAAUGGGUGGUAAAUUUCAUCUAAAGCUGAAUAUUGGCCAGAGACCGAUAGCGCACAAGUAGAGUGAUCGAAAGAUGAAAAGCACUUUGGAAAGAGAGUUAAACAGUACGUGAAAUUGUUGAAAGGGAAGCGCUUGCAACCAGACUUGCGCGCGGCCGAUCAUCCGGUGUUCUCACCGGUGCACUCGGCCGUGCUCAGGCCAGCAUCGGUUUUGGCGGCUGGAUAAAGGCCCUAGGAAUGUAGCUCCUCUCGGGGAGUGUUAUAGCCUAGGGUGCAAUGCAGCCUGCUGGGACCGAGGACCGCGCUUCGGCUAGGAUGCUGGCGUAAUGGUUGUAAGCGGCCCGUCUUGAAACACGGACCAAGGAGUCUAACAUCUAUGCGAGUGUUUGGGUGUCAAACCCAUACGCGUAAUGAAAGUGAACGGAGGUGAGAACCCUUAAGGGUGCAUCAUCGACCGGUCCUGAAGUUUACGGAAGGAUCUGAGUAAGAGCAUAGCUGUUGGGACCCGAAA
rnacentral:rRNA from 1 species